GACGAACGCUGGCGGCGUGCCUAAUACAUGCAAGUCGAGCGGACCAAACAGGAGCUUGCUCUUGUUUGGUUAGCGGCGGACGGGUGAGUAACACGUGGGUAACCUGCCCGUAAGACCGGGAUAACUCCGGGAAACCGGAGCUAAUACCGGAUAACACCGAAGACCGCAUGGUCUUUGGUUGAAAGGCGGCUUCGGCUGCCACUUACGGAUGGGCCCGCGGCGCAUUAGCUAGUUGGUGAGGGAACGGCUCACCAAGGCGACGAUGCGUAGCCGGCCUGAGAGGGUGCCCGGCCACACUGGGACUGAGACACGGCCCAGACUCCUACGGGAGGCAGCAGUAGGGAAUCUUCCGCAAUGGACGCAAGUCUGACGGAGCGACGCCGCGUGAGCGAAGAAGGUCUUCGGAUCGUAAAGCUCUGUUGUUAGGGAAGAAGAAGCGCCGUUCGAACAGGGCGGCGCGGUGACGGUACCUAACGAGAAAGCCCCGGCUAACUACGUG
rnacentral:rRNA from 1 species